GAUGAACGCUGGCGGCGUGCCUAAUACAUGCAAGUCGAGCGAACAGACGAGGAGCUUGCUCCUCUGACGUUAGCGGCGGACGGGUGAGUAACACGUGGAUAACCUACCUAUAAGACUGGGAUAACUUCGGGAAACCGGAGCUAAUACCGGAUAACAUGUUGAACCGCAUGGUUCAACAGUGAAAGACGGUCUUGCUGUCACUUAUAGAUGGAUCCGCGCCGCAUUAGCUAGUUGGUAAGGUAACGGCUUACCAAGGCAACGAUGCGUAGCCGACCUGAGAGGGUGAUCGGCCACACUGGAACUGAGACACGGUCCAGACUCCUACGGGAGGCAGCAGUAGGGAAUCUUACGCAAUGGGCGAAAGCCUGACGGAGCAACGCCGCGUGAGUGAAGAAGGUCUUCGGAUCGUAAAACUCUGUUAUUAGGGAAGAACAAAUGUGUAAGUAACUAUGCACGUCUUGACGGUACCUAAUCAGAAAGCCACGGCUAACUACGUG
rnacentral:rRNA from 1 species